AAUAAAUUGAAAAAUAGUCUUGAAAGAUGCAAGCAAGAGGUCUUCUGAACGGCUGUGCGCUAAUACUUUUAUUUAUCAUACAGACUGCAACAGGCGACACAAGAUGUAUACAAAAAGGAGGAAAAUGUCAGGAGAACUCCAUACCGUGUGAUAAUUACCAAAGUGGGUUAUGUAAUGGUGGACGAACCAGACAGUGCUGUAUUUCCAACCAAGGUUCUGUUUUUCUAAAAGAAUAACCCAAAUUUGUCCAGUGUUGUUCUUUUUUGCUUUGAAGAAAGUCGUUAAAAGAUAAAAUCAAUAAUUGCUUAUUUUUGUAUAAAUAGUCGCUGAUAAACGUUGCAUGGAUAAAGGAGGUAAAUGUCAACAGACCUCCGUGUCCUGUAGCGGGGCAUACAGGAGCGGAUUGUGUGGAGGAUCAGCGUCCAGGAAGUGCUGUGUCCCACAGUCAGCAUCAAGUGGAAAAUUAUGUACCGACGCUAACUUUCAAACUGUUGGAAGAGUUGUGUUUGGUGAAGCCAGAGGGGAAACGGCAAGAGGGCAGUUAGCAGUUGCAUACAGCAUUGUCAAUAGAAUAAACCACUCGGGGUAUCCCAAUACGCUUAAUGCAGUUGUUAACCAAAAGACUGCUGGUGGGGCUUACCAGUAUGAAACUCUGGGCGUGGCUGCUCACACAAAAGCUUGGAACGUUACCAAAAAAGGAAACACACAGGAAUAUAAAAAUGCUAUCAAAGCCUCUAGUGACGCCUUGUGCGGUAGAGUCAGCGAUCCAACGACAUGCGCAACAGACUACUGCGCAUAUGAUCCGUGUUCUGCAACAAACUCUAAUAAAUAUUGGACGGCAACCAACAAAAUCCCAAUCGGACGUCACUACUUUGUUUGCCGCGUAAAAGCCAGCGGUUAAUUUGAAUACCUUUUUUGUUUGCUGGUGUCGUAUAUUGAAUUUAUUUUAUCAAAUUAAAUUAUAGGUACACGACUAUAGGCUGAUUAGUUCAGUGUCAGAUAACCAACUAUAAAUACAAAUUUGUUUUUUGGACAUGUUAUUAAUGUAUAAUUUGAAAAUGCAUGUCUUUCAAAACAAAUAAAAUUGGAAUGACCCAGGUUGU
rnacentral:misc_RNA from 1 species